GGCACAGAAACUAGAGGGGAAUUAUAUUUACAAUCAUUUAUACAUUUGAAUCCAAGUUGGCACACAAUCUAGAGCUUUAUUUACAACUAUUCAGACCUAAAUACAACUACCAUCUAUGUUAAUAUAUAAACAACCCAUCUUUUCCAUUCCUCCGGGCCUCAAUCACAGCCUUCCAAGUACAAGUCAUAAUCCACCUCACUUUCAGUCUGAUCUGUCCUCAGUUCCUCAAAAUCGUCAUCAAAGAUAUCAUUCAUGCUUUGUUUCGUCAAGAUAUUAUCGUUUGGUGUUGCACAUGUGAUAGCUUGAUUCAGCUUCCUCAACUUAGCUUUGUUGUCAGGAACUUCAUUUUUCUUUUCUUCCAAGUCAACAAUAGGUGCAUAUCGGAACUUCCGUUUAGGAGUUUUUUCCGGCAUAGUAGAAUCUCCAGAAUGAACGGAAGCAAGAGGCGUCCAACGGCAAAGCAUGAGUUUAGGUCCGGUAACGUUGUUAGUGUUGCCGGUGCCACGAAGAUUGUUGUUGGGCUGAGUAGUAACCCACUGCUUCUUCCAUUUUCUAACUGGACCACUAAAAAUUGGAGCUGUGCCGCCAUACCUCGACGAGGCCCGACCGAUUCUAGAAC
rnacentral:misc_RNA from 1 species